rnacentral:lncRNA from 1 species
UCUUUAAUGAAAGACACAAUGGAUCUGUUGACUCUUAAUUCCAUUCUCUUUCAGAGCACAUGGAAAUUGAAGCCAUGUGGGACUUAACAAGAGAUCAAAUGGUAUCUUAAACAUCCCAGGGCAGCUGCCCUGUCCCCAGAGCCUGGGGCGGCCUCUGUGAAGGGGCCCCUCUUUCCUGGUGUUCUGGGUCCCUCUCCUCCCAGCUCCACUGCAGCAUCCAGAUUUCUCGAAGUGGCUGAUGUGUGUCUCAUGAUGAGUACUGAACAUCAUAAAAGGAGAAGUGACAAGCAAGCCCGAGUCUAGAGAGUAAGAGAAGCCACAGGCUAAGAAGUGGGACCAUGGCUUAGAAGACCAGAACAGAAGAAAAAGCAAGAGAUGAACAUUCUGGCAAAAACCAGACUACAGAUUUACAUUUUUUCUU